GAUGAACGCUGGCGGCGUGCCUAACACAUGCAAGUCGAGCGAUUCUCUUCGGAGAAGAGCGGCGGACGGGUGAGUAACGCGUGGGUAACCUGCCUCAUACACAUGGAUAACAUACCGAAAGGUAUGCUAAUACAAGAUGAUAUAAGAAAUUCGCAUGGAUUUCUUAUCAAAGCUCCGGUGGUAUGAGAUGGACCCGCGUCUGAUUAGCUAGUUGGUGAGGUAAUGGCUCACCAAGGCGACGAUCAGUAGCCGGCCUGAGAGGGUGAUCGGCCACAUUGGGACUGAGACACGGCCCAAACUCCUACGGGAGGCAGCAGUGGGGAAUAUUGCACAAUGGGGGAAACCCUGAUGCAGCAACGCCGCGUGAAGGAUGACGUAUUUCGGUAUGUAAACUUCUAUCAGCAAGGAAGAUGAUGACGGUACUUGACUAAGAAGCCCCGGCUAACUACGUG
rnacentral:rRNA from 1 species